UAUACCGGGGCAUAGCCCAGCGAAAGUUUGGAUUAAGUUCUCCAUGUGAGACGAAGCCGCAUGACUUUGUUUUGAAACGUAAGGGUAUAGGGUGAGCACGCUUCUGAUUAGAUAGUUGGUGGGGUAACGGCUCACCGAAGUCGACGAUCACGUAGGGUUCUGAGAGGAAGGUCCCCCCACAUUGGAACUGAGACACGGUCCAAACUCCUACGGGAGGCAGCAGUGAGGAAUAUUGGUCAAUGGGCGAGAGCCUGAACCAGCCAAGUCGCGUUGAAGGAUGAAGGUUCUAUGGAUUGUAAACUUCUUUUGUCCGAGGGUAAAAAAGGCCACGUGUGGCUUCUUGCAAGUAUCGGACGAAUAAGCAUCGGCUAACUCCGUGCCAGCCGCAGC
rnacentral:rRNA from 1 species